ensembl:lncRNA
AUACUCUCUUCAAACCAAAGUAUAGCCUUUAAUCAAUUGAGCUCAUUAUGGAUUCCCCUUAUAUAAAGCAAAAUCUAAAGACUUGGGUCAGCUUGAGGGCAUGCUUAUGCAGUGUGCUGGAGCUGUUCUGAAAUGCUUACAACAGGGUUGCAAAAUGAGAUUAAAAAGAAGGUAUAAGUGCAAAGAAAUCAGAUAAAUUUAGGUUUUUUCUUCCAAGGAGUUAAUGUGCUUUCAAGAGAUAAUCCUGAAAUCACCUCGAGUAAAUUCCAUCACCUUCCAGGAACCCUCUGUCACUCACCAGUUGUAGAAGUUUACAGCAAGGAAACCCACAUUUCCUGACCAGAGUUCCCUUAUUAUGAAGGAAAGGUAGCACCUUGGUGUCAGGUGAUGGUGAAAUAUUUUUUGCCUUUAGUAACCUGGUAAUGAGUGUUUGCUCUGUUCCCUCAGGACAGCUGCAAUUGGGCAUUGGUGCUGGAUGGGGAGCCUUUCUGAUAAACUAUUUCUUUUUAUUUCUUUAAAAGUCAACCUACUGGAGAAGCCAGGUCUGAAGUUUGGACGUCAUAAUCACAGCAGGAGGAUUCCUGUUCACCCCAUUCUCAUUGCAGCUUGUUCUGCCCCCAGAGGCUUCUUCAGACACAGUGUGCAGAUGGUGAGGAAGUCCACAGAGCUCCUGCUAGAUGAGGGUGGCCUAUGUUAGUGCAUCCAGGUGUAGACAAGUGUGUUUUCCUUGCUAGACUGUGUCUCCUUGAGAACAGAAACUGCCUGUCUUGUUCACCUCCUCCUCCCUGCGCCUAGAACAAUGAUGAGUUUAUGGCAGAUGGACGAUGGAUCAGUGUUAGAUGGAUGCCCACCAUCCAAGGGAAUGAAUGGUUUACCUUCAAAUGACACGUCUGCCUGAGAGCUUGCUAAGCACAUAGAUUUACUGCCUGCUGCCCUCAGCACUAGUUCUGCCCAUUAUGAAUGUGUGGUCACCAAUCUUCAAAAUGUGACACAAAGGCCCCAUCUAUUGCCAGGAGUGGACACCAUUGAUGCUUUCCCCAGAACUCAUCCCAACACCAGUGUGGAUAAACCUGUACCUCUUGGAAUGUGGAGACCGCAUGGAAUAAAUGACACCAAAUGAUACAUAGUCUUAAAGUGACUUUGAGGUUUCAUUUUAGCUUAGUAAUUUUAUGGAAACUUGCUAGUCCACUCCUUACCUGUCUCUGUCUUCAUGUAAAAUUACCCAGAUCAUUCAGCUGUACAAUAUACUCAGCCUGUGGCUUCAAGAAGCCCUGACACAUGUCUGCCUGACCAAGGGCUUCUGUGGCCCAGUGAGAAGCUCAGUGUGAAAUUGUCCAUAAAACCUUUCUGUUGGUGUAGGGGAGCUCACAUUAGCCCCACUAAUAGGGAUUCUCUUAUCUGAUUUCCUUUUUUAUCCAGGAAAGAACAGCCCCACAAUUGAAGAUAGGACAGGGAAGGAGGGCAUUUGAUCCUGGGAAAGGAACGGAAACCACCCAAAGCCACUUGGAAGUAGAGGGGCCUGGUCAGUUCAACCUGCUUCAUCAACAUGCAGCAAGAGGGAGCAGGAAGGAUGUAGACACUGGACCAGGGGGAAGAAACCAAAAGCAGAGUGAGAGGAACCUUCUGGAGUAAAGAGGGAAAGAACUGUGGAUACAUGUAAGAGCUAACCAUUCAUUCCUUCUUAUGGUUUACAUCUAAAAGUCAAGAGCUUCAUGUACUCAUGGCCAUGGCUUUGAGAAGAUGAUUGGAUUACAGGGGUGGUAUAGCUGAUUUGCUGUUAGGAGGUAGGAUCUAAUCAGAAGAGCUUGGGUCACUGGGAGUACAGUCUGGAAGGGUGCAUCUCCCUCCGCCAAGCUCCUCCCUUCACUCUCUGCUUCCUGUCUGCCGUGGCAGCUUUCCUCUGCCAUACCCCUAUGCUAUGCUGUCCUGCCUUGGAGCCAAAACUGAAACAUGAGCCAAAAUAAACCUGUACUCCUUUAAGUUGUGGGUGUCAAGUAUUGUGUCUCAGCAACAGGACAGAGACAAAGACAUUCCUUCCCCAGGCUUUGGUGUAUAUUCAGUAAGGGCUAGAUCCUAUACUUAGCACCAGAAAUUUAAAAAGAAACAAUUAACAUUCACAGCCCAGUGAGGAUGGAGACCCG